rnacentral:rRNA from 1 species
UACGUAGGUGACCAGCGUUGUCCGGAUUUACUGGGCGUAAAGAGCGCGCAGGCGGUCGUUCAAGUCGAGUGUGAAAGCCCCCGGCUCAACUGGGGAGGGUCAUUCGAUACUGAUCGACUUGAAGGCAGGAGAGGGAAGUGGAAUUCCCGGUGUAGUGGUGAAAUGCGUAGAUAUCGGGAGGAACACCGGUGGCGAAGGCGGUUCUCUGGGCCGAUGACUGACGCUGAGGAGCGAAAGCGGUGGG